AACGAACGCUGUCGGCAUGCCUAACACAUGCAAGUCGAACGAGAUCUUCGGGUCUAGUGGCGCACGGGUGCGUAACGCGUGGGAAUCUGCCCUUUGGUUCGGAAUAACGGAUUGAAACGACUGCUAAUCCCGGAUGAUGACGAAAGUCCAAAGAUUUAUCGCCAGAGGAUGAGCCCGCGUAGGAAUAGCUAGUUGGUGUGGUAAAGGCGCACCAAGGCGACGAUCCUUAGCUGGUCUGAGAGGAUGAUCAGCCACACUGGGACUGAGACACGGCCCAGACUCCUACGGGAGGCAGCAGUGGGGAAUAUUGGACAAUGGGCGAAAGCCUGAUCCAGCAAUGCCGCGUGAGUGAUGAAGGCCUUAGGGUUGUAAAGCUCUUUUACCCGGGAUGAUAAUGACAGUACCGGGAGAAUAAGCUCCGGCUAACUCCGUGCCAGCAGCCGCAGUAA
rnacentral:rRNA from 1 species